rnacentral:rRNA from 1 species
GACGAACGCUGGCGGCGUGCUUUAACACAUGCAAGUCGAACGAAGAGCGAUGGAAGCUUGCUUCUAUCAAUCUUAGUGGCGAACGGGUGAGUAACGCGUAAUCAACCUGCCCUUCAGAGGGGGACAACAGUUGGAAACGACUGCUAAUACCGCAUACGAUCCAAUCUCGGCAUCGGGACUGGAUGAAAGGUGGCCUCUAUUUAUAAGCUAUCACUGAAGGAGGGGAUUGCGUCUGAUUAGCUAGUUGGAGGGGUAACGGCCCACCAAGGCGAUGAUCAGUAGCCGGUCUGAGAGGAUGAACGGCCACAUUGGGACUGAGACACGGCCCAGACUCCUACGGGAGGCAGCAGUGGGGAAUCUUCCGCAAUGGACGAAAGUCUGACGGAGCAACGCCGCGUGAGUGAUGACGGCCUUCGGGUUGUAAAGCUCUGUUAAUCGGGACGAAUGGUUCUUGUGCAAAUUUUCC